GUUCCAGACUCCUACGGGAGGCAGCAGUGAGGAAUAUUGGUCAAUGGACGCAAGUCUGAACCAGCCAAGUAGCGUGCAGGAUGACGGCCCUCCGGGUUGUAAACUGCUUUUAGUUGGGAAUAAAAGGGGGCUCGUGAGCCCCGUAUUGUAUGUACCAUCAGAAAAAGCAUCGGCUAACUCCGUGCCAGCAGCCGCGGUAAUACGGAGGAUGCGAGCGUUAUCCGGAUUUAUUGGGUUUAAAGGGUGCGUAGCCGGAAUGCCAAGUCGGCGGUAAAAUCGCGGGGCUCAACCUCGCUCCGCCGUUGAAACUGGCGUUCUUGAGUGGGCGAGAAGUAUGCGGAAUGCGUGGUGUAGCGGUGAAAUGCAUAGAUAUCACGCAGAACUCCGAUUGCGAAGGCAGCAUACCGGCGCCCAACUGACGCUGAAGCAUGAAAGCGUGGGUAUCGAACAGGAUUAGAUACCCUGGUACCC
rnacentral:rRNA from 1 species